AAGUAGCCGGUGGACCUCUCUCGA
rnacentral:siRNA from 1 species